GACGAACGCUGGCGGCGUGCUUAACACAUGCAAGUCGAACGGAAAGGCCCUGCUUUUGUGGGGUGCUCGAGUGGCGAACGGGUGAGUAACACGUGAGUAACCUGCCCUUGACUUUGGGAUAACUUCAGGAAACUGGGGCUAAUACCGGAUAGGAGCUCCUGCUGCAUGGUGGGGGUUGGAAAGUUUCGGCGGUUGGGGAUGGACUCGCGGCUUAGCAGCUUGUUGGUGGGGUAGUGGCUUACCAAGGCUUUGACGGGUAGCCGGCCUGGGAGGGUGACCGGCCACAUUGGGACUGGGAUACGGCCCAGAGUCCUACGGGAGGAAGGAGUGGGGAAUAUUGCACAUGGGCGGAAGCCUGAUGCAGCAACGCCGCGUGCGGGAUGACGGCCUUCGGGUUGUAAACCGCUUUCGCCUGUGACGAAGCGUGAGUGACGGUAAUGGGUAAAGAAGCACCGGCUAACUACGUG
rnacentral:rRNA from 1 species